GUGCAGUGGAUGCAGUGUGUGUUAGUGUAAUGAAUGCAGUGUGUGUGUCAGUGUAGUGAAUGCAGAGUGUGUGUUAGUGUAAUGAAUGCAGAGUGUGUGUCAGUGUAAUGAAUGCAGAGUGUGUGUCAGUGUAAUGAAUGCAGAGUGUGUGUCAGUGUAGUGGAUGCAGUGUUUGUGUUAGUGUAGUGGAUGCAGUGUGUGUGUCAGUGUAGUGAAUGCAGAGUGUGUUAGUGUGAUCAAUGCAGAGUGUGUGUCGGUGUAAUCAAUGCAGAGUGUGUGUCAGUGUAGUGGAAGCAGUGUGUGUGUUAG